rnacentral:rRNA from 1 species
AUACAUGCAAGUCGAACGCGCAGCGAAAGGUGCUUGCACCUUUCAAGCGAGUGGCGAACGGGUGAGUAACACGUGGAUAACCUGCCUCAAGGCUGGGGAUAACAUUUGGAAACAGAUGCUAAUACCGAAUAAAACUUAGUAUCGCAUGAUACAAAGUUGAAAGGCGCUACGGCGUCACCUAGAGAUGGGUCCGCGGUGCAUUAGUUAGUUGGUGGGGUAAAGGCCUACCAAGACAAUGAUGCAUAGCCGAGUUGAGAGACUGAUCGGCCACAUUGGGACUGAGACACGGCCCAAACUCCUACGGGAGGCUGCAGUAGGGAAUCUUCCACAAUGGGCGAAAGCCUGAUGGAGCAACGCCGCGUGUGUGAUGAAGGCUUUAGGGUCGUAAAGCACUGUUGUAUGGGAAGAAAUGCUAGAAUAGGGAAUGAUUCUAGUUCGACGGUACCAUACCAGAAAGGGACGGCUAAAUACGUGCCAGCAGCCGCGGUAAUACGUAUGUCCCGAGCGUUAUCCGGAUUUAUUGGGCGUAAAGCGAGCGCAGACGGUUGAUUAAGUCUGAUGUGAAAGCCCGGAGCUCAACUCCGGAAUGGCAUUGGAAACUGGUUAACUUGAGUGUUGUAGAGGUAAGUGGAACUCCAUGUGUAGCGGUGGAAUGCGUAGAUAUAUGGAAGAACACCAGUGGCGAAGGCGGCUUACUGGACAACAACUGACGUUGAGGCUCGAAAGU